rnacentral:rRNA from 1 species
AUUGAACGCUGGCGGAAUGCUUUACACAUGCAAGUCGAACGAUGAACCUUAGCUUGCUAAGGGGAUUAGUGGCGAACGGGUGAGUAAUGUAUCGGAACGUAUCCAAUAAUGGGGGAUAACUAGUCGAAAGAUUAGCUAAUACCGCAUACGUCCUACGGGAGAAAGCUAGGGACCUUCGGGCCUGGCGUUAAUGGAGCGGCCGAUAUCUGAUUAGCUAGUUGGUGGGGUAAAGGCUCACCAAGGCGACGAUCAGUAGCUGGUCUGAGAGGACGACCAGCCACACUGGAACUGAGACGCGGUCCAGACUCCUACGGGAGGCAGCAGUGGGGAAUUUUGGACAAUGGGCGAAAGCCUGAUCCAGCCAUUCCGCGUGAGUGAAGAAGGCCUUCGGGUUGUAAAGCUCUUUCGCAAGGGAAGAAAACUUAAGCACUAACAUAGCUUGAGGUUGACGGUACCUUGAUAAGAAGCACCGGCUAACUACGUGCCAGCCGCCGCCGUAA